rnacentral:rRNA from 1 species
GACGAACGCUGGCGGCGUGCUUAACACAUGCAAGUCGAACGGAGAGGCCCUGCUUUUGUGGGGUGCUCGAGUGGCGAACGGGUGAGUAACACGUGAGUAACCUGCCCUUGACUUUGGGAUAACUUCAGGAAACUGGGGCUAAUACCGGAUAGGAGCUCCUGCUGCAUGGUGGGGGUUGGAAAGUUUCGGCGGUUGGGGAUGGACUCGCGGCUUAUCAGCUUGUUGGUGGGGUAGUGGCUUACCAAGGCUUUGACGGGUAGCCGGCCUGAGAGGGUGACCGGCCACAUGGGGCCUGAGAUACGGCCCAGACUCCUACGGGGGGCAGCAGUGGGGAAUAUUGCACAAUGGGCGGAAGCCUGAUGCAGCAACGCCGCGUGCGGGAUGACGGCCUUCGGGUUGUAAACCGCUUUCGCCUGUGACGAAGCGUGAGUGACGGUAAUGGGUAAAGAAGCACCGGCUAACUACGUG